CCGGGGACGAGGAGCUGGCAUCAGGCACACCAGAUGGCCCAAGACGCCUUGCUCAGCCACACCCCCAAGGGAAUUCAGCAGUAAUAAACAUUAAGCCAUAAGUGAAAACUUGACUUAGUUAGGGUUAAGAGGGCCGGUAAAAUUCGUGCCAGCCACCGCGGUUAUACGAAAGACCCUAGUUUAUAGGCACGGCGUAAAGGGUGGUUAUGGGACAGACAAAAUAAAGCUAAAGACCCCCAGAGCCGUCAUACGCCCACGGGGGCGCGAAACCCAAAUACGAAAGUAGCUUUACCAAACAAAUGCCCGACCCCACGAAAGCUGAGAAACAAACUGGGAUUAGAUACCCCACUAUGCCCAGCCUUAAACCUAGAUGAAAACUUACAAAACCGUCCGCCCGGGGACUACAAGCACAGCUUAAAACCCAAAGGACUUGGCGGUGCCUCAGACCCACCUAGAGGAGCCUGUUCUAGAACCGAUAACCCCCGUUAAACCUCACCACCUCUUGUUUUCCCCGCCUAUAUACCGCCGUCGUCAGCUUACCCUGUGAAGGUCCAACAGUAAGCAAAAUGGGCCCAACCCAAAACGU
rnacentral:rRNA from 1 species